GUGCCAGCCGCUGCGGUAAUACGGAGGGUGCAAGCGUUAAUCGGAAUUACUGGGCGUAAAGCGCACGCAGGCGGUUUGUUAAGUCAGAUGUGAAAUCCCCGGGCUCAACCUGGGAACUGCAUUUGAAACUGGCAAGCUUGAGUCUCGUAGAGGGGGGUAGAAUUCCAGGUGUAGCGGUGAAAUGCGUAGAGAUCUGGAGGAAUACCGGUGGCGAAGGCGGCCCCUGGACGAAGACUGACGCUCAGGUGCGAAAGCGUGGGAGCAAACAGGAUUAGAUA
rnacentral:rRNA from 1 species